CCUACGGGUGGCUGCAGUGGGGAAUAUUGCACAAUGGGCGCAAGCCUGAUGCAGCCAUGCCGCGUGUGUGAAGAAGGCCUUCGGGUUGUAAAGCACUUUCAGCGGGGAGGAAGGCGGUGAGGUUAAUAACCUCAUCGAUUGACGUUACCCGCAGAAGAAGCACCGGCUAACUCCGUGCCAGCAGCCGCGGUAAUACGGAGGGUGCAAGCGUUAAUCGGAAUUACUGGGCGUAAAGCGCACGCAGGCGGUCUGUCAAGUCGGAUGUGAAAUCCCCGGGCUCAACCUGGGAACUACAUUCGAAACUGGCAGGCUAGAGUCUUGUAGAGGGGGGUAGAAUUCCAGGUGUAGCGGUGAAAUGCGUAGAGAUCCGGAGGAAUACCGGUGGCGAAGGCGGCCCCCUGGACAAAGACUGACGCUCAGGUGCGAAAGCGUGGGGAGCAAACAGGAUUAGAUACCCGGGUAGUG
rnacentral:rRNA from 1 species